UCUGCUGUUGUGCUUUCGUGUAUUCGCGUAUUCACACACCUGCAUGGCGGGAUGUCGUCGCACUCGCACGGAAUUUACUGUUUCCUAGGUGUGAAUAGUGUUAAAAUGCUACGUUUUUUCAAGACAUAAUUUUGAAUUUGUUUGUCGUUUUUCUUAUUGUCGUAGUCUCUGAAAACGAAAUUUAUCUCGAGUCUGUAGGUGAAUGACCUUUCGCCUUGUAGCAAGACAUGGCACAAAAUCAUGUGAUUCACCUACCAUAAUUUAAGGUGCAUCAUCUUUAAGUAAAUAUCGGACAAUAAGUAAUAAUUUCAAAUCAAACUACCCGAACAGACCCUAUAGGAAGGCGAAGAUUGCGAAGGAAAAGAAACUACUAGACAUGUUGAUUCUUGUCUCGUUCUGUUUAUCUUUGUCCGAUUCUCGUUCAACGGAGCGAUCAGUGCCCUGCCACAGUACGAUUGCGAACGUUUACGGAUAUGGUGCAGGUGAAAUUUUUGAUCAUCAAAUACACUGAAAAUGUCGGCCUUCGAAUAAGUGAAUCGCGGAAAUGGAGACAAGCAAACUACAGAUUGAAGAAGGGGUAGAAAAUCUACUUUUGUACUCAUUCCGGCCAAAUUCGAAGGCAAUUAGUAGAGAACCUCGUCCAGAUUCGUCUCAACAACAGUAGCAACAAUGGCUCUUCCGAAGGAUAUUAUCGAGCUCAUGAGGAAAUUGGGGUGUCAAUCGGUAACACAACUGUUAGCGACCAUUUUCGCUCUGCUCCUGCUACCGGUGAUUGCCCUGAGCAACGGCUCUCAGAACAGAUUCCUGAACAGUGGCAUACAAUUUUACAGGAAACAUGAUGUGAAAAAGUUGAUCCAAUAAGGUUUUAGUGGUGAUAUUAAUUAUUCUCCAGUGCUUUCAUGCGCAUUUUGAAGCACAUUGUUCGAAGAAUUCUCUAAAAGUGGCCGUUUUCCUAGAAUAGAAGCGUUAUCGCGUGCCUCGGCAGAUAUGGUAUCAAUAGACGCCGGUUUUAGAUUCCAAGAAAUGCGACUGUCAGACGAAGCCUCGAAGAAAGCCCUUAACAUCGCAAUUAACUGGAUGAUUCAGGGAGAUAAGAGUGAAUAAUGGUCCAUCCGAACGAGGUUAAAUUGUUUGGUAGAUGAAAGCAGAAUGUAAUAAUCGAAAACGGCGGUGUGUUUUUGCAGAGUGGAAGCAGGUCCCGGAUUGCGACCACCAAAGGAUCCGGAGCCCUUCGAGAGAACAUGGCCUUGACUGAAGCAUCCCAUUAGAAUUUGUAGCUGUCAGAUGCGAUGAAUAAAAGUGUUUAUUACUUAAGAUAACGGUUAUGGAAAUAUAGUGAUUUAUUUUA